rnacentral:rRNA from 1 species
AUGGAUAAAGAGGCAGCCAACCCUACAAGGAGAUCAUCCCAUAGAGAGGAGGUGGAAGAACUUCUUGGAAGGCUUGAGCUCCAUGAGGAUGAUGGGGAUGAGUUCGUUUGGGAGGAUGAGGAGAAUCUACCGAAGGUUCAUGCUAAGUGGCUUGCGAUUGCUAGGGUUCACACAACAAAGAGUUUUAGUCCUUCCGCGCUGUAUGCGGAUAUGAGAUCAGCAUGGAAUCCUGCAAGAGAUGUGUGCUGGCGCAUGAUCGAUACAAAUUUGUUAACGGUGCAGUUCGGAUGUCUCGGCGACUGGAAUACGACAUUGACAAACGGACCUUGGCUGUUUAGAAAUCAAGCAGUCAUCAUCCAAGAGUAUGACGGCUACACGAACCCUAGAUCGGUUGUGCUUGAUAAGGUUGCUGUCUGGGCGCGAAUUCUUGGUUUACCUGAUCUUUACCUGAAUGAACCAAUGAUCAAGGGUAUGUGCCGUAAACUGGGGCAGAUUACGGAGGUACAGAUCUAA